UACGGGGGGGGCAAGCGUUGUUCGGAAUUACUGGGCGUAAAGGGCUCGUAGGCGGCCAACUAAGUCAGACGUGAAAUCCCUCGGCUUAACCGGGGAACUGCGUCUGAUACUGGAUGGCUUGAAUCCGGGAGAGGGAUGCGGAAUUCCAGGUGUAGCGGUGAAAUGCGUAGAUAUCUGGAGGAACACCGGUGGCGAAGGCGGCAUCCUGGACCGGUAUUGACGCUGAGGUGCGAAAGCGUGGGGAGCAAACAGG
rnacentral:rRNA from 1 species